rnacentral:rRNA from 1 species
UACGGAGGGUGCAAGCGUUAAUCGGAAUUACUGGGCGUAAAGCGUGCGCAGGCGGUUUGUUAAGUCUGUUUUGAAAUCCCCGAGCUCAACUUGGGAAUUGCAAUGGAUACUGGCAGGCUGGAGUAUGGUAGAGGAAGGUGGAAUUCCCGGUGUAGCAGUGAAAUGCGUAGAGAUCGGGAGGAACACCAGUGGCGAAGGCGGCCUUCUGGACCAAUACUGACGCUCAUGCACGAAAGCGUGGGGAGCAAACAGG